rnacentral:tRNA from 1 species
GCAGUGGUGGUGCAGGGGCAGGAUUCCCGCCUUCCAAGCAGGAGGCCCGGGUUCGAUUCCGGCCAAUGCA